UUUAGAAUAAAAAUUAAAAAUUAUGAAUAAUCCAAAAUCCCUAACCCCAACCCUAACACAAUCUCCCCAAUUUCAAAAUACUGAUGCGCACAUUCUACGUUUCUCUCUGCUCCGACGAGUUCUGCUCUACUCCACCGUGUUCUUCUGCUCGUGCCGUGUUAUUCUGCUAGCUCUGCUUCGUCGUGUUCUUCUACUUGCGCCGAGUUCUGCUCUACUCCGCCGUGUUCUUCUACUCGCGUCGAGUUCUUCUUUGCUCCGCCGUAUUUUUCUGCUCGCGCCGAGGUUUUCUCUGCUCCGCUAUGUUCUUUUGCUCGCACCUUGUUCUUCGUGUUGUUGUUUUGUUAAGCAAAUUGAGAUUAAGCCUUGCUUCAUGAAUCGUUUGAUUUUAAUUAUAAUUAGUUUGGCCUUUCUGUCACUGCUCGCCUUGUUGUGCUCUCUUCGUGUUCCUCCCUACUUGCGGUUCAUCGUGCUAGUCAAGUUCUUCUCUUCACCUUGUUUUGCUUGCCGUUCGUCUUUGAUCUCUUCGAAUUUGCCGACGUUCUUCUGCUAGUGUUCAUCACCGCCGAUCAUUGUUCUGCAGUUUCUGCUUCAUCGACACCUUCGCUUCACUCUUGCGCCACCUCAGCAUCGAGCGUGGUGCACUGCCGCCACACCGACUACAAACCCGUACCACCUGUGGAAGGAGAAGGAAGAGGAGAUUUUGAGGAAUAUUGAGCCUAUGGUUACACGAACCAAAGAUAUUCUUCACUCUCGAAGAGAUCCUCAACAGUUUUGAUUUGAAGUUCACGAGAGAGGCGCUCAUGCACGUGACCAUCUUUUGAUAUGUUUACCAAUUGCCAUAUUUCGUACUUAGGUGAUGGAGGAUAUCGGAUCCCUAGCAGCAUAGCGUGCCUUCUCAGCUGCCAAAGCAUAAAUAUAUCAUGAUAAACAUGGGUUCAAAAGUGAAUGCUAUUAAGAUACCAUCAGAAAUACAUAAUGGAAUUGCUUACCAGGAUCACUAAGCUCAUCAAGAUCAGCCAAUGAGUGACCUCUAAAUCUAUAGGUCUCACAUUCCACCAAAGUUGGUCCUUCUCCUCUUCUGGCUCUUUCAAUUGCCUCCUUUGCGACUUCCCUGACCUUCAAAACAUCCAUUCCAUCUACAUGAACCCCUGCCAUUCCAAAUGCUGGUCCUUUCUUCCAUAUCUCAGGAUCUGAAGUUGCCCUCAGAUGUGACAUCCCAAUAGCCCACAAAUUAUUCUCAUCUCUGUUUUAGGAGAUUGAUAACAAAAUAUUUGCAGAUCUUUGGUGAACAUUAAGUGUAAAUUAUGCAUAUAUAGCAAAUUGUUGCGACAUGACCUUGUUAGUUCGCAGGAGGGUGUUGUAACAAAGAAACUUGCUUCGGAUAUUGCUGAUAUUUCCAUAAAAGAAGAAUCCUCAAGUUCUCCCACAACUAGUAGUAAUCAAGAUGGUGGUUUCUUGUGGAAGGAUGAUUUUGCAAAUAAUGUGGACUCUAUAAAGGAGGACAAAGUUGGUUUUUUGUCUUUCACUGUAACCAGUGUGACUUCACGUCAGCUGAAUGAAUUGAACAAGAAAUCAGUUAUGAGUGAUGGGAUGAAUUCGAUUCAGAGGUCUCCACAACUGAAGAGUCCUGUUGCAAAGCUGGCAGCUCGGACCAAAGUUCCUUUUGAAAAAGGAUAUAGUCAAAUGGAUUGGCUUAAUCUUAAUCGGACACAUCUUGACCUUAUUUAGUAUAUGGGACAAGUCAAGCAUGGAUAUAAAAUAUGCAAGUAGAUUGACAUCUUUUUGAUAAAUAUUAAUUACUACUUUGUUAUGACAAUUAUUGUUAGACAAGAAUUUUAUUAUUUUGUUGAGAAUUAUUGAUGAACAUGUAUUUGAAAUACUAAUUGAACUUUUCAAUAUCUAUUUUAAUUAGAAUUUUAUUAUUA